GAGAAGGAAUCCUGGAAGAAGAAAAAUUUGAUCUCUGCUUUAAAGGAUAGACAGGCAUUCAACAGGCAAAGAGAGACAGGCAAGCAUUUUUUCAGGCACAGAAAACAAUCAAAGCAAACACAGGGGGCUUGUCUGGGGGACAGAGAGGAUUUCAGGUUCAACUAAAGCACAAAAUGCCUAAAAGACUAAUAUGAGAAGACUUGAAAGUGAGCCAGUCAUUUAACAUUCAUUUUCUCAUGCACAAAAUGGAAAGAAUAAUACUUGCCACAAUGUUCCUCAUGGACUCGGUACAUAGGAAACCCUUGGACAACUCCAAGCACUUACUUAAGGGUGGUGCAUCUCCCAUCAAAGAAGAGUCAGGACCAACUGAGGGCGGAAAUUGUAAUAAGCAUCAAAGAAGACACAAAGAAUAAGACAGCUCCCUUCACUAAACAUUCAUCCUAUGCGGAAAAAAUUUCUCAAGAGCUACAAACAAGGGAGUUUUCUACUUUUGAGGGGCUAUGGCAUUACUGUCUGCUGUGAAGAUCGGUUUUUCCCUUGGGAACGAUGAUGUCUAUCCUCAGGCGAACUUUAUAAACUUCACUAAAACUUGUUAUUCUCCCUGAAUGGUGACAUGUAACAUGUUUAUGUGGAUUUCUAUAAACUAAUGCCUCAAUAAGCCAGAGCUCUCCUGAUUUCACAAUGUCAUUCUUAGCUGAAUCUUUCUUGAUCAAAGAACAUACUAGCAAGAGGAAGGGUCAAGGGCAGCUGGGUAGCACAGUGGUCAGAGAACAAGGCUUGGAGUUGAGAGGAUCUGGGCUCAGACACUUCCUAGCUGUGUGAUCCUGGGCUAGUCACUUAACCCCUAUUGCCUAGCCCUUGUCCUAUCUGAGAGCUGUUACUAACACAGAAAGUAAGAAUUUCUUUUAAAAAUUGAAGAAGUGUCACCAUGAGUCUUCCCUUAAGCACUGUGAUUCUUAGGUCCCCUUUCCACCCAUCUGGAACCACAAACCUUGGGGAAGUAUUCAAAAUUCUAGGUCUA